AGUGAACGCUGGCGGUAGGCCUAACACAUGCAAGUCGAACGGCAGCACAGUAAGAGCUUGCUCUUACGGGUGGCGAGUGGCGGACGGGUGAGGAAUACAUCGGAAUCUACUUUUUCGUGGGGGAUAACGUAGGGAAACUUACGCUAAUACCGCAUACGACCUACGGGUGAAAGCAGGGGAUCUUCGGACCUUGCGCGAUUGAAUGAGCCGAUGUCGGAUUAGCUAGUUGGCGGGGUAAAGGCCCACCAAGGCGACGAUCCGUAGCUGGUCUGAGAGGAUGAUCAGCCACACUGGAACUGAGACACGGUCCAGACUCCUACGGGAGGCAGCAGUGGGGAAUAUUGGACAAUGGGCGCAAGCCUGAUCCAGCCAUACCGCGUGGGUGAAGAAGGCCUUCGGGCUGUAAAGCUCUUUUGUUGGGAAAGAAAAGCAGCAGGUUAAUACCCCGCUGUUCUGACGGUACCCAAAGAAUAAGCACCGGCUAACUUCGUG
rnacentral:rRNA from 1 species